rnacentral:lncRNA from 10 species
CCAGAGGCAGCUUCCUGAAGAAAUAUUUGAGGUCCUCUGUAAGCUUCCAGGAGUAGACUGUUUCCUCCGAGAAGGCCUGUUCGUCAGAAGAAGCAAAAGGUUUUAUUCUAGAGACAUGGACUCAAGUCGGAAGUCCUUCCAAUGUUAUGACCGUUGGAGUGGACAAGAUAACCUGGGCCCCGGUAUCCAUUCAUCAAGCCUCUAGCACCACGGGAGCCUCCACGAGACACACCACGACUAUUGUAAUAGGGCUGAUUGCUACGUGGAAAUCCAGUGUUCUGCUGAGGAGGCUGCUGGUGGUUACCAGUCACUUGAUGGGACUGGUCCGGGGAACCAUGGUAAGUGCCAACCACUGUUUGAAGCUAUUCUUGCUGAAGCUCUGUUUGUUCUACUUGGUGAGGCUGACUAGAAAAGCUCUGGUUAUAACUGGCCUGGUACUGAUUUUGCUGUUUUAAAGUUUCUGGUUCACAGCUUUUCCAGUUAAAUUGGAGCACUGAACGUUCAGAUGCAUACCAAAUUAUGCAUGGGUCCUAAUCACACCUAUAAGGCUGGCUACCAGCUUUGACACAGCACUGUUCAUCUGGCCAAACAACUGUGGUUAAAAACACAUGUAAAAUGCUUUUUAACAGCUGAUACUGUAUAAGACAAAGCCAAGAUGCAAAAUUAGGCUUUGAUUGGCACUUUUUGAAAAAUAUGCAACAAAUAUGGGAUGUAAUCUGGAUGGCCGCUUCUGUACUUAAUGUGAAAUAUUUAGAUACCUUUUUGAACACUUAACAGUUUUUUUGAGACAAUGACUUUUGUAAGGAUUGGUACUAUCAUUCCUUAUGACAUGUACAUUGUCUGUCACUAAUCCUUGGAUUUUGCUGUAUUGUCACCUAAAUUGGUACAGGUACUGAUGAAAUCUCUAGUGGAUAAUCAUAACACUCUUGGUCACAUGUUUUUCCUUCAGCUUGAAAGCUUUUUUUUAAAAGGAAAAGAUACCAAAUGCCUGCUGCUACCACCCUUUUCAAUUGCUAUCUUUUGAAAGGCACCAAUAUGUGUUUUAGAUUGAUUUCCCUGUUUCAGGGAAGUCACAGACGGUAGUUUCAGUUCUGAUGGUAUAAGCAAAACAAAUAAAACAUGUUUAUAAAAAAAAAAUUAUUGGAGAUUUUUUUCUUAAUGUUACCAAAACAUCAAAAUCAGUAACUAACUAAAGAAAGAAACAAAAAAGGAAGUAAAAUCAUACAAAAAAAUAACUGAUAAGAGGGAGGAAAUUUAAAUAAAAUCUAAAGAUACUACUUUUCAGACCUCUUUGUAA